rnacentral:rRNA from 1 species
GACGAACGCUGGCGGCGUGCCUAAUACAUGCAAGUAGAACGCUGAAGGAGGAGCUUGCUUCUCUGGAUGAGUUGCGAACGGGUGAGUAACGCGUAGGUAACCUGCCUGGUAGCGGGGGAUAACUAUUGGAAACGAUAGCUAAUACCGCAUAAGAGUAGAUGUUGCAUGACAUUUGCUUAAAAGGUGCAAUUGCCUCACUACCAGAUGGACCUGCGUUGUAUUAGCUAGUUGGUGGGGUAACGGCUCACCAAGGCGACGAUACAUAGCCGGCCUGAGAGGGGGAUCGACCACACUGGGACUGAGACACGGCCCAGACUCCUACGGGAGGCAGCAGGAGGGAAUCUUCGGCAAUGGACGGAAAGCUGACCGAGCAACGCCGCGUGAGGGAAGAAGGUUUUCGGAUCGUAAAGCUCUGUUGUAAGGGAAGAACGAGUGUGAGGGUGGAAAGUUCACACUGUGACGGUACCUUACCAGAAAGGGACGGCUAACUACGUG